ACGAUCCGUCAUCCCGGCGGAGGCCGGGAUCUCGGGAGAAUAGGGUGCGCGGAAGCCUCCUGAGAUCCCGGCCUCCGCCGGGAUGACGGCAUGA
rnacentral:pre_miRNA from 1 species